rnacentral:rRNA from 1 species
AGGAAAAGAAACUAACAAGGAUUCCCCUAGUAACUGCGAGUGAAGCGGGAAAAGCUCAAAUUUUAAAUCUGGUAGUCUUUUUGGCUAUCCGAGUUGUAAUUUAGAGAAGUGUUAUCCGCGCUGGACCGUGUACAAGUCUCCUGGAAUGGAGCGUCAUAGAGGGUGAGAAUCCCGUCUCUGACACGGACUACCAGGGCUUUUGUGAUAUGCUCUCAAAGAGUCGAGUUGUUUGGGAAUGCAGCUCUAAAUGGGUGGUAAAUUCCAUCUAAAGCUAAAUAUUGGCGAGAGACCGAUAGCGAACAAGUACCGUGAGGGAAAGAUGAAAAGAACUUUGGAAAGAGAGUUAAACAGUACGUGAAAUUGUUGAAAGGGAAACGCUUGAAGUCAGUCGCGUUGGCUAGAAAUCAACCUGGCUCUUUUUGUUGCUAGGUGUACUUUCUGGUUUAAUGGGUCAGCAUCAAUUUUGAUUGGUGGAAAAGGGCCUGGGGAAUGUGGCAUCUUUGGAUGUGUUAUAGCCUCUGGUCGUAUACACUGGUUGGGAUUGAGGACCUCAGCACGCCUCCGGGGUUGUGUUAAGGAUGCUGGCAUAAUGGCUUUAAUCGACCCGUCUUG